CAGAAGCACACAUCAGGAUUCGCUUCUGCAAGGUGUGGGUGAGCUCUGGCAAGCUGGGCCCAGAGGCAAGGAGAGAAGCAAAGUCCUCCCCUUGUGAGAACAGUGAGGGUGGAAAGCAAACAACAAGAGGAAGAAGCAACCAUACAGCAUUGAAAGCGAAGCCUUAUCCAUCAUCCACGUCAAAGGGGCUGGAAAGGUCCGAAUCCACCUGAAUGACAACUAAAGUUUCGAGAAUGGGAAUGCAAAAGGGGAUUCAAAGCCACCUGCAUUCCUCGGCCCAUGGCCCCUUCUACCAUCUUUGAAGGCAGCAGCAUAGCACAUCUUCGAAUCUCUCUCUGGCCCUGAAACUCUUGUCUGUGUCUUAUGAGGACCCUUGUGACUACAUUGAGCCCACCCAGAUAAUCCAGGAUAAUCUUCCAGCCUCAAGAUCCUUAACUCAAUCACAUCUGCCAAGUCCCUUUUGCCAUAUAAGGUAACACACAUUCACAGGUUCUGCAGAUUAGGAUGUGAACAUCUAUGGCAGGGGGAGGGAACAUUAUUCUAUCAACUACACCUUGGGAAUCACAUAGCAUAGCAUCAUGUCCACAGUAAAGACUGGUCAAAAUUGUCACAGCCAGCUCAGAUUCUAGAGUAGGGGUCAUAGACCCAACCUCUCAAUGGAAGGAGUGCCAAUAAAUGUGUGGCCAUGUGGCCUUGGUUUGAAACUACCACGCCUUUCCUGUUGUGGCUGCUCCACAUUGGCUAACGGGGGAGGAGCUUCACCCCCAUUUUUGACUCAGCAACACGAACAUGAAAAGAGAUGGACAGUCCAGCAGACAUUGAAAGGGGGCAAAAGAUACGCCAUGCAGUUGCACUUCGUGUAAAUUUUAAAUAGUAUCACAUACAAAAUUAAUAAACCUUCUCUUUAUGCACAGUUGAAGCCAAGAAAAUCUUACUUUAUAUUUAUUCCUAACUGAAAACUAGACUCGAAUUGUGCAAGUUUUA
rnacentral:lncRNA from 1 species